rnacentral:rRNA from 1 species
UACGAAGGGGGCGAGCGUUGUUCGGAUUUACUGGGCGUAAAGGGCGCGUAGGCGGCGCGACAAGUCGAGUGUGAAAGCCCCGGGCUCAACCUGGGAAUGGCGCUUGGGACUGUCGUGCUGGAGUUCGGGAGAGGAGAGUGGAAUUCCCAGUGUAGAGGUGAAAUUCGUAGAUAUUGGGAAGAACACCGGUGGCGAAGGCGGCUCUCUGGACCGAUACUGACGCUGAGGCGCGAAAGCGUGGGGAGCAAACAGG